rnacentral:lncRNA from 1 species
AUGAUUAUGUCCGUGUUUUAUAUAAUAUGAGAUGAACGACAUCAAUCGGAAUAUUAGGUACGGACUCGACAGCAAGAUUAAUAUAGAAAACGUACAUUAACCAGAAUAUUAGGUAAACACACAAUCGAGUCCUAAAACUAAAAGAAGAAACUCUAGCACUUGAAAAUUUCAUUACAGCCAAAUUAAUUAAGAAACUCAAAACUAGUUCACACCCAAAUCAGCCAAAUUAAUAAAAAGAAACGCACUAU